UACAGAUCGUUCCCUUUCCUCAGUCUCAGGAAACUAAUAGUCUGGCAGGGAAGAGAGAUGUGGACAUAGAUAUUCAACAAUUUGCUCAGACAUUAAUAGGGUAUGAAAAGAGCAACAAAACAGAGGAAGGAGUAAUGGAAACUUCGACAACAGAGCAAUGGACAAACAUACUUUUGUGGGUGAUGAGACUGGGAGAAUGGAGAGAAAAAGUAAGAUGUGGGAAGGCAUGAAGUGAACAAGCACCAUGGCAUGUGUGAGAAAUCCUAUGCUUUUUUUUUCAGGAUUGGAGCAGCGGGUAUGACAUGUGAGGCAGGGAUGCAGCUGUCAAGGAUUGGCCUUGGGGAGGUCAAAUUUGCUUCUCAGCCUAUGGCGUGAGCACAUUGAUUUUCUCGUGCACUGAAGCAUCGGGAUGUUGAAUUUGGAUGACGUGGCAAAUAAAGGAAUAUUCUCUGCUUCUCAGACCAAGCAAGGCACACGUAUUAAAGCAAAAGAUAAGAAGCACGAAUCUCCUCACAUGUUUUAAGUCCUUCAUCUUUAUUCAUUUAAUCAUCAAUGUACAUUAAGCACCACCUCUGUGCUGGCUUCGUGGAAACCAUGGCUAAUAUAAUGAUUCUUGGGUCAAGAAGCAAACCAGGACUGGAAUUAAGGCCAAGGGCGAGGCACAGGGCAGAUGCCAAGAGUGUUUUCCGGAGUCCUGUCCCACGAAGCAUCUUACAGCUGGAAGCACCUGCUUGCUGAGUUCCUAUCGAUGUGGCUGGUUGUGAAGCUCUGAGGAGGAAUGACCCUUGGCCAUUUCCACUUCCUUGGCAUUUCUUCUAACCCCAAGCAUCCUGAAGCAAGCUCUUUUGGGUGCCCUAUUCCUAUUGUACCGGCCCUCGGAGUCCUUUCCUGCAGUAUCUUUCCAUGUACACAGGAAAGAUGAUUCCAUCUCCAGCACAGGGUCAGUACUGAUUCAUCGAAGUGGCUCAUGGGAAUCUCAUCAUUAUAUAUAGUCAUAUACUUGGGUGUGCCCAUGUUACUUGGAUGGGCAGUACUGGAAAAUUUCCCCUUGUUCUUAAACUAGUGACUUACUAUUCUUUUCCAGCCAUUUUUGUAUCUGGAUGCGCUAUCUGGGCCUGUGGUAGUUAUCGUGUAAAUACUAGAGAGCCAGCCAGGGGAGAAGGCCCCUAUUGGGAACAUGGCCAAGCAAAAUGAUAAAGAAUGGAGAGACCUGUUGUGGUAUCAUGGAGUCCCUGGCUUAACCCACCUUGGAGCCACCUGCUUUGUGGACCCACUGCCAUGUAGGAUGAUGAGAUGUUCCUAAGACUGCGAGUUUGGGCCUUCAGGUACCUGCAAGAGAAAGGAUUCUUACUAACCUACCCCAUGUCUUUCAGAAAAGCUGAUGCUCCAGGAAGAUGCACAAUAGUAAUGUCAUGAAUUUGUCCUUCUUCCCCCCCACCACGUGUCUUCAAACCCCUGAGAUAAUGAUACCUGCAUUUGAGAAACUCAACCACCACCUUCCUCAUGGUGAUUUUAAGGUGUGCGCUUACUCGUGAUAAAACAUAUAAAACAUAAGCUUGCAGAAUAUGCGUUUGUUGGUCAGUUGUAAUGAUCUUCCUCUUCUGUGCAUAUGUGUGGGUGUAAUUUGGUGAAGGUGUUCUGUCUUAGUGCAAGAUUUAAUUUUGAUUUGGGGGAUUAUAUUCAGUUUAUUUAUUUAUUUAUUUUAUAUAUUCAGUUUAAUUGAUAAAUGUGUUUGGUG
rnacentral:lncRNA from 1 species